rnacentral:lncRNA from 7 species
AAAGAUGCCACUUGCAGGAGGGCUAGGUCCUCGAAGCCUCAUCAUUAACAGUACAAUUCACCUUCCUGCUCUAAGUCCCAGGAGACAAGUGGUUACAUACCUUUAUUGUAAGGUCCAGGCCCUCAGUCUUUGAUGACAAAACAGCAGAAAUUUGGAAACAUAUUUUCUCUAUGCACAGGAAUAACAUUUAUUCUCCAGUAUUAUAUACCUAGAUGAUAGUGGUUUUAGUUGAUGAAAUCCUGUCUCUUCUUUAGCAUUCUUUUACUGCAAAAGAAGAGAUAUUGAAACAGAGUGUUUUACUAUUUUUCACUAAAGUAAUUAAUCCCUUGAUUAUGGCGAGGAACAUUGUAAUUUAGAGCAGUUGCUCAUACACCCUAAACUGUCCUAUGUUUCCUUAUAACAGCAUAGUCUUACUUUGCUUUUCUAACGUAACUCAACAGAUCCAAAUAGUCACUUUGUGCUCUGUAGAGACAGAAUUUUGUGAGUACUGUCAGAAAUAUUCUGUCUUGGAUGCAUGAACACAGCUUUCCAUCCAUGACUAACAACUGCUUACUCAUGAAAGCAGCAGUGUAGUCAUAGUUUUUUAGUGUACUUAGACAAGGCAAGCUGUAAAGCAUGUCUUAACCAUAGAUUUGCAAUCCAGUGUUUGGAACCACUGUGUAUGCUGUAGAAAAUAAUGAAACGUAGCUCUCACAAGAUUUGUAGGCUGGUCCUCGGUGGAAAAUGUUCUGCAAAUGAUCUCUGACUCCAGCCUUAGAUUCUUCUUUGAUCUGGAGAGCUCCUUGAUUAACUACUAUAAAGAGGUGGAAGGGUCUGUGCAGCCAGAAGGACAUUUCCAUUAGACGCUUGUGGUGUGUGAAGGAGCUCAUGUGGAGGGAAGGAGAAUGAGGUGUAUGUGCCCUGAGUUUACUUACCUGCAAAAUAAUUCUGCCAACUGGACAAAGGAAAUAUGCUGCUGAUUGCCGUGUUACAAGCAAGGGGGACUACCAGCGACGAAGUCUAUGUAAAUGACAUUUGGAUUACUUGAGCAGUUUUGCAGAAAUGCUCUUCCUCAAAGAGAGACCCAUGAGAGAUUGUGCCUCAGGGCUCACAGAUUGCACCAGGAAGAUGCAGUUUUAUAUUACUUUGUUUUCUGUACUGUCUGUACUUUUCUGGCUUUCUCUAGACCAAACACCACAGCAUCAGUUUUGCUGCACUGUUUGUUUUUCUUUGGUUUGACGCUGAAAACAAUAUAGAUGCAUUAGUCUAGUAGUAUAUAUUGCAUCUUAUCCUUGUUGCUUUGCAAUACAAUUUUUUUUUACAAAUACAAAUAGUCUUAUGGCCUUGCACAUUAAAGGGCAAAGCAGACCAGUGGAAACAAAAUGCACAGACCCAGCUUGCUACACUCCGAAGCAUCUAUAGCUAUCAGAAAACAAGGAUGACACUUUCUUAGGAGGCGAAAAGGCAGUAAUACUCAGUGUAGAUCUUCUUUCUUUAGAGGGAAAAAAAGAAAAGACAACAACUUGGUUUACACCUUGUAAAUACUGGUUGUAAAAAGCACAACCGAUUCAGUGUUAAAAGAAACUGUUCAACACUUACAGUGGAAGGGAGUGUAAGGCACCUAGAAAAUGUUUGAAUUUCUGUCAUUUCUUGAGUUUUCACAAAAGCUCCUCAGGAAAGUGAAGCUUAAAAACACAACAGAGUUUGAAUUUGCUGCUUACACACAUUUCUUUAAUGGCAUUUCCAGAGACUCAGCAGUUCUAUCACUUGGAAUGAUCCUGAGGUCUGGCAGUAGUGUAAGGAAAUGAAAAAAAAAACACUAUCUCAACAUUUUUUGAAAUUUCACUUUACACACACAGAAGUAGAGGCAGGGACAGCAGUAUGGGCAUGAAAUAAGUUCUCAGGUGCUACUGAGAACUGCUCUAAGUAGGUGCUGGGUUGAUCAAGUUUUUCUAGGUACAAAAUUAUAGACUUCUUGAUCACCUUGAUCACCUUGAGCUAGGUUCUUGCAAAUCUGCAGUAGAAGGAGCAGCUAUGACACUUAGAUUUCAUUCUUCUAUUGUUGAGGAACAUGAGCAACCCAUGUGAAAAGAAAUAUUUUUAUACGCUAGAGCACUGUACAAAGAUUACAUUAUUUGUUCAUAUGUAGUUAAAUAUACAAAUACUGUUUUGCUAUUACUGGCACCAUACAAAGCUGUGUAAAGCUAUUUAUGGUUUUUAAAUGUUUAUUGAUAAGUUGAUUGUUAGCUACCAUAGAAAGGUUUUGUGAAUACCAACUUUUGAGUUUUCAUGUAAAUAAAUUAGGAAUAAACUCACCACAAG